rnacentral:misc_RNA from 1 species
CAAUUAAUUGCUCUGUGGAGUCUAGUUGUGGAAAUACCAGUAGCGGUGAAAAUGCCAAAAGCAACUCUUUUCGAGUUAUGGAUGUGGAAUCUGCUCACUGUGCGCAACCUCAGAUUUCUACAACAAAACUACCUGCAGGAUCAUUUCAGGAAGCAAAGAAGAAAACACUUGAUAAUAUAGAAGACGAGGCAAACAAAAGGAAGCUUCUUGAUGAUCCAUACCAGAUUGCUAAAAAAGCUAGAACUACAAGAGAAUCUGAAGCCACUAUUGGGUCAACGAGAAUGAAGGAUACAGCAUCACAAGGAAGUGUUCUGGUGGUUGAGGA